UUGGGUCAAGCCCAAGCCCACCCCAUUCUCCCUUUUGGGUCUGAAUUACUUAAAAUUUUAUAUUUAUUGGAGACUCUUUUUUGGUCGAAAUAUUUAUUGGAGAAUUGAAGUGUGAUUUUGGGGACACCCAAAUAUUGUCUUUGGAGGCUCAUAUUUUAUUCUUUUAAUUACAACGUAUAUCCCUUUUGUAAAAUGUUUUUUUGUUUUUUUGUUAACUACAUGAUCUCUAGAAAAAUUUACGAAUUUGUUUGGACAGCCACCUCACACUAACAACACCAGCACCUCCCGCGACUCCCUCAACCUUUAAUCAUAUUCAUAGUUUAAAAUAUUGAGGAUAUUAUCGUGUUUUCAGGUCACAGAUAUUUCAGAAUGUAUCAAUACACAUAUCGUAUAAAUAUCGAUAAUAUCAAAAAAUAUCGAUGCCAAUAUUUAUUGGAGACUCUUUCUUGGUCGAAAUAUUUAUUGGAGAAUUGAAGUGUGAUUUUGGGGACACCCAAAUAUUGUCUUUGGAGGCUCAUAUUUUAUUCUUUUAAUUACAACGUAUAUCCCUUUUGUAAAAUGAUUUUUUUUUUUUUUUUGUUAACUACAUGAUCUCUAGAAAAAUUUACGAAUUUGUUUGGACAGCCACCUCACACUAACAACACCAGCACCUCCCGCGACUCCCUCAACCUUUAAUCAUAUUUCAUAGUUGAAAAUAUUGAGGAUAUUUAUCGUGUUUUCAGGUCACAGAUAUUUCAGAAUGUAUCAAUACACAUAUCGUAUAAAUAUCGAUAAUAUCAAAAAAUAUCGAUGCCAAUAUUUAUUGGAGACUCUUUCUUGGUCGAAAUAUUUAUUGGAGAAUUGAAGUGUGAUUUUGGGGACACCCAAAUAUUGUCUUUGGAGGCUCAUAUUUUAUUCUUUUAAUUACAACAUAUAUCCCUUUUGUAAAAUGAUUUUUUUUUUUUUUUUUGUUAACUACAUGAUCUCUAGAAAAAUUUACGAAUUUGUUUGGACAGC
rnacentral:lncRNA from 1 species